GUCCUAGCUCCCAAGUGUUCAUGUGGAUCUUCAGUUGAUCUAAGCGCAUCUGGGAAAUGUAUUCUGCCAGUUAUUGCUAUUUACACUGGCUGACUAAAAUUAGCCUUCUCUAGCCCCUGUUGGAGCUUGUGCUUCUCUUCCCUUUUGCUGCACCUCUCCAGGAGAUUGUUGCAUUAUCUGAUCCUUCCUUCUCAAACUGCACAUCUAAUGAAGCACAGUAUUAAGAGAGGUUCGUUUCUGAAUGUGGGAAGAAGCAAAGAAAAACCAGGAGCUUCACUUGAAAAAUGGAGGCUUGUUGUCAGAGAUCUCCUGUACAGCUGGUAGGGGAACAUAUUUAUGUCCUCUGGAUACAACGAGCCUGCAGGAGAGAACCAGUGGCUGUUCCUUUGCAGAGAGAUCCAUCUGCUCAUGGGGGCAGACAGGCUGGGGAAGGGCAGCCUCCUCAUACAGCCCUCUGAACAUGCAUGUGGGCACACACACAUUCACACACAGGCUUUGCCUUUCCCUGCGUCCUGAAGAUUCAGCUGAUGCUUUCAGGAGUUUAUGUAACACCAUCAUUGCUGGUUAACGCAUUGGAAAUGCUGAGCGGCAAUUAAAU
ensembl:lncRNA